UACAGAGACUGCAAGCGUUAUUCGGAUUCACUGGGCGUAAAGGGUGCGCAGGCGGUCGGGUGUGUCAGAUGUGAAAUCCCGAGGCUCAACCUCGGAACUGCGUCUGAAACUACUCGACUAGAGUACUGGAGAGGGUAACGGAAUUCACGGUGUAGCAGUGAAAUGCGUAGAUAUCGUGAGGAACACCAGAGGCGAAGGCGGCAUCCUGGACCGACACUGACACUGAGGAGCGAAAGCCAGGGGAGCAAACGGG
rnacentral:rRNA from 1 species